AUACGGAGGGUGCAAGCGUUAUCCGGAAUCAUUGGGUUUAAAGGGUCCGUAGGCGGACUAUUAAGUCAGAGGUGAAAUCCCACAGCUCAACUGUGGAACUGCCUUUGAUACUGGUAGCCUUGAGUUAUAUGGAAGUAGAUAGAAUGUGUAGUGUAGCGGUGAAAUGCAUAGAUAUUACACAGAAUACCGAUUGCGAAGGCAGUCUACUACGUAUAUACUGACGCUAAGGGACGAAAGCGUGGGGAGCGAACAGGAUUAGAAACCCUAGUAGUCC
rnacentral:rRNA from 1 species